rnacentral:rRNA from 1 species
AAAAUAACAAUGAUUCCCCCAGUAACGGCGAGUGAACAGGGAAAAGCUCAAAGUUGGAAGCUCCUGGCCCUAGGCUAGGCGCAUUGUAAACUAAAGCUGUAAAGUAGUUCGGUUGGCCUGGUAAAAAAGUUCCCUGGAAUGGGGCGACAUGGAGGGUGAAAUCCCCGUCUUUGGCCAGAGUUCAGCCGUGCGUUUGCUUUGCUGCGAAGAGUCAGGUUGUUUGGGAAUGCAGCCUAAAAUGGGAGGUAGACUUCUCCUAAAGCUAAAUAUUGACGAAAGACCGAUAGCGAACAAGUACCGUGAGGGAAAGAUGAAAAGCACUUUGAAAAGAGGGUCAAAAAGUACGUGAAAUUGCUGAAAGGGAACCGUAUGAAAUCAGCCUGAUGUGUGGGUAAUCAGCCUGGGCUUUGGCCUGGGUGCACUUGCCCAUGUAUUAGCCUGCGACAGUUUGACCUGGGGGAAAAAAGAUGGGGGAAUGUGGCCUCGGCUUCGGUCGUGGUGUUAUAGCCCCUGUCAAAAUACCUUGGGUUGGACUGAGGACUGCAGCGAGCCGUAAGGCAUGGGUCUCGGGCGCUCUGUCUCGGCGAAAAGUGAAUCUCUGCUUCGGGUGGUGCGCUUUUCUUCAGGGCAGACUCGUCUGUUUCUUCUUUCUCUCGCUUAGGUCGUAGGCAUAAUGAUUUUAUAUGA